ACAGAGGGUGCGAGCGUUAAUCGGAAUUAUUGGGCGUAAAGGGUGUGUAGGUGGUUUAAGUGAGUCAGAUGUGAAAUCCCCGGGCUUAACCUGGGAGAGUCGUUUGAUACUGCUUAGCUAGAGUACUAUAGAGGAUAGUGGAAUUUCCAGUGUAGCGGUGAAAUGCGUAGAUAUUGGAAGGAACACCAGUGGCGAAGGCGACUAUCUGGAUAGAUACUGACACUGAAACACGAAAGCAUGGGUAGCGAACAGGAUUAGAUACCCUGGUAGUCCAUGCUGUAAACGAUGAGAACUUGCUGUUGGGUACGUAAAAGUACUUAGUAGCGAAGCAAACGCGUUAAGUUCUCCGCCUGGGGAGUACGGCCGCAAGGCUA
rnacentral:rRNA from 1 species